UUUUAACUCUCUUUUUUAUCUCAUUCCUAUUUAAGAUUAAAAUUUAAACGAAAAGAAAUAAGUGAAAGAAAGUGAAUUCAUAUUUGUGAGCUCCUCCACCGCUGCGAUAACAAUAAUGCGGUCUCUCUGAAUGAUUUCUCAGCUUCAUCACAAGAUGGAUUUAUUCAGGAAAGCAAUUCUGAAUCCAGGGCCGCCUGAAGAUUUCGCGCUCCAGACUGUGCAGCAAGUUAUAAAACCCCAGAAGCAGGUGAAACUCGUUCAAGAUGAAAAUAUGUUGUUGGAAAAUAUUCUGCGGACUUUGCUUCAAGAAUUGGUGUCAGCUGCAGUUCAGUCAGGUGAGGCAACUAUGCAU